UCAGUUUUUUUACCUUUUCUCUAUUAUUUUGUUUCUUAAAAAUCAUUUUUACCCUUCGGUUAGCCAUUCAACAGUCACGCUGCUUCAUUAACCCUUUUCGUUGAACCUUCCUCUACUAAUCAUCUUAAUUACGCCUCCUCUGCUCCUCUUCUCUCUCAUAAAUAUACCAUAGUCAGUUUAUCCUUUUCUCUUUGUGCCUUGCCGGAAAAUAAAUGUUAGCAAGACAAGAUUAUGUGGCAUCGUUUUUUAUUUUCAACUUUGAAGCCAAAUUUCAAGUCGAAAAUUAAAAACGAUCAGCAACGUUAUUGCUUCAAAUCACUCAAAAACUUGAUUCAAGGACAUGAUACUUUCUGCUCCGGAAAAAAAAAAUCAAAAGCAGUUCAUGACUUUGCAGGACUAUUUCAAGUAUGGUGCCGACAAAGCAAUCGAUAAUCCAUGGGCAUCUAUUAUAUUCUCGUGCUUCCUUCUUAUAAAGUUGGCUCAGAGUUUGUGAUCAUGUAUUUGUAUGAAACCAUUUUUGUUAAAUUUGUGCUAUAGUUUAGCGCAAUACGAGUAUUUACAACUUACAUAUAUGUAUGCCAUUUGGAUUUACAGAUGUUUUACAUAGUUGGUUUCUUAAUUUCAGUAUACAAUUUUAAUGGAGGUAUAUGUAAUUGGGGCAAUGGGUUCCUUCUGGUGGUUCAAGUGCGAGAAUAUUUUUGUUUAUAACUGAGAAUGUGUUAGACAUUUUAUUUUUCUCCUGCUAAAUCUGAAAAUAUAUUAGUAUCAAAUAGAGUCUUUUGUUCUUCUA